rnacentral:rRNA from 1 species
GAUGAACGCUGGCGGCGUGCCUAAUACAUGCAAGUCGAGCGAACAGACGAGGAGCUUGCUCCUCUGACGUUAGCGGCGGACGGGUGAGUAACACGUGGAUAACCUACCUAUAAGACUGGGAUAACUUUGGGAAACCGGAGCUAAUACCGGAUAAUAUAUUGAACCGCAUGGUUCAAUAGUGAAGGACGGUUUUGCUGUCACUUAUAGAUGGAUCCGCGCCGCAUUAGCUAGUUGGUAAGGUAACGGCUUACCAAGGCAACGAUGCGUAGCCGACCUGAGAGGGUGAUCGGCCACACUGGAACUGAGACACGGUCCAGACUCCUACGGGAGGCAGCAGUAGGGAAUCUUCCGCAAUGGGCGAAAGCUUGACGGAGCAACGCCGCGUGAGUGAUGAAGGUCUUCGGAUCGUAAAACUCUGUUAUUAGGGAAGAACAAAUGUGUAAGUAACUAUGCACGUCUUGACGGUACCUAAGCAGAAAGCCACGGCUAACUACGU